UACGGGGGGAGCAAGCGUUGUUCGGAUUUACUGGGCGUAAAGGGCGCGUAGGCGGUCAGCACAAGUCAGUUGUGAAAUCUCCGGGCUUAACUCGGAAAGGUCAACUGAUACUGUGCGACUAGAGUGCAGAAGGGGCAACUGGAAUUCUCGGUGUAGCGGUGAAAUGCGUAGAUAUCGAGAGGAACACCUGCGGCGAAGGCGGGUUGCUGGGCUGACACUGACGCUGAUGCGCGAAAGCAUGGGGAGCGAACAGG
rnacentral:rRNA from 1 species